CCUACGGGCGGCAGCAGUGGGGAAUAUUGCACAAUGGGGGAAACCCUGAUGCAGCAACGCCGCGUGAGUGAGGAAGUAUUUCGGUAUGUAAAGCUCUAUCAGCAGGGAAUAGAAAAGAAGGUACCUGAAAAAGAAGCCCCGGCUAACUACGUGCCAGCAGCCGCGGUAAUACGUAGGGGGCAAGCGUUAUCCGGAUUUACUGGGCGUAAAGGGAGCGUAGGCGGACUUUUAAGUGAGAUGUGAAAUACUCGGGCUCAACUUGAGUGCUGCAUUUCAAACUGUAAGUCUAGAGUGCAGGAGAGGAGAAUGGAAUUCCUAGUGUAGCGGUGAAAUGCGUAGAGAUUAGGAAGAACACCAGUGGCGAAGGCGGGUUCCUGGACAUUAACUGACGCUGAGGCACGAAGGCCAGGGGAGCGAAAGGGAUUAGAUACCCCUGUAGUC
rnacentral:rRNA from 1 species